rnacentral:rRNA from 1 species
GAUGAACGCUAGCGGGAGGCCUAAUACAUGCAAGUCGAACGGUAAGGUCCUUCGGAUACACGAGUGGCGGACGGGUGCGUAACGCGUACGGAAUAUACCUUCAACAGGGAGAUACCUCCGGGAAACUGGAAUUAAUACCCCAUAGUAUUAUAGAUUCGCAUGAAUUUAUGAUUAAAGCUCAGGCGGUUGAAGAUUAUCGUGCGUCUGAUUAGGUAGUUGGUAGGGUAAUGGCCUACCAAGCCGACGAUCAGUAGCUGGUCUGAGAGGAUGAUCAGCCACACUGGAACUGAGACACGGUCCAGACUCCUACGGGAGGCAGCAGUAGGGAAUAUUGGACAAUGGGCGAAAGCCUGAUCCAGCAAUGCCGCGUGUGUGAAGAAGGCCUGCGGGUUGUAAAGCACUUUCAGUAGGGAAGAUUAUGACGGUACCUACAGAAGAAGCACGGCUAACUCCGUAGCCAGCAGCCGGCGGUAAAGUGACUACUG